AAGAGUGUAGCUCAAUUGGUAGAGUAGUGGUCUAAAAAAACCAUUGGUUACAGGUUCGACUCCUGUCACUCUUG
rnacentral:tRNA from 1 species